UACUCGUGUUUGUCAAUACCCAAUUGUAUAUUCUACAUCAGGGGUGGCCAACAGGUCGAUCGCGAUCGACCUGUCGAUCCCGAGAGCAUUUUUGACCGAUCGCGGACCAGAAAUUAAGAAAAAACUUCAAAGUUUUUGGUACUAUGUAGUAUGUGUACACAUAAAUAUUUUGUAUAAAAGGUCGAUCGCGACGAACUUUUAGAAAAAAAGUCGAUCGCGAAUACAUAUAAGUUGGCCACCCCUGUUCUACAUGUUCUUAUAAUAUUACGAUGGUCCUAUUUACUCGCAUGCAGUCGGUCUGUGUGCUGUCGGUCUGUCUGUCUGUUAAAUCAACGACAUCGUUUGAAAUUCUAAAGUGUACAAAUUUUUCCUGUUUGUGUUUGUACCUGGGUUUUAUUGGACCAUGUAGCGAAGUAACUGCUGUCCGGGCCACUUCGCUACAAUCCGACUAACGCAAGAUCGACAUUAAUUUUAAUAUCGAUCUUAUAUAUAUUAAAUAAAAAACUCAAAUAUUGUGCAAAAUCGAUAUUAAUUUUCUAUGCCGAUGAAAUAAAAUACUCGAAUGUUCUUUUUUCUUAUCAAAAUGAUUCAUUAAAGAGUAGGUGUAGUGGUCGCGAGUGCGGCUGGUGAGAACGAUGUCACAGAUUUCCUUAAUUUUAGGUUGUUACUGUUGUUACCGAGGAAUUACGAUGACCCUAGAAAACAAGACAUCACUAAAAUGUCCACGGGGAGUGUAGUUAGGAGUUAGGACUAGCAGUAUUGCCACUUGGAAUGGCAACGCUUAGCCUAACCUCUGUUCUAGCAACAGACCAGCUCUGUGGUCUCGAGAAACAUUGAUCAGGCAGGCGAGAGUCGACAAAAUGUUUCACAAAAUGUCUGAACAACAGAAUCCACGUUGUGCUCGGUGGUGCUCGGUGCUUCUCUGUGUGAGGAGAGGCCAGUGUCGCGUGUGGCAGUUACAGCUCGGUUGCUGGUUUAUACGUACUUCUUAUCUGCUUUCCAUUACUAUCAGGUCUUAAACAUUGAUAAAACAUUUGGUCGACGCGGUGUUGUGUAAACUCAAGUUUCUUACGGGAAGCCAACAUCGUCGUAUGAACAAAUUCUGCGCCGACACACGAGCGUUUUAUCGCGACCGAUAACCGCGGCCGCGUGGCGACGACGAGGCUCGCACUGUGAUGACUCGUUAAUCAGAAAUGCCUUGGUACGAUGUGUUGUGGACGACGAGUAGAGUGCGCGGCGCGGCACUGCCGCCGCUACCACCGCGCCGCGCGCUGCACCGUUUAUCACGAUCGACACACCGCGUGCGCGGGACGACGAAAUCAUGAAACUGUUCUGGUUUAGGAUGGUACAUGUUUUACAAAAUUAUUGUUUUCAUAAAAAUAAAUUCAACGCUUUAAAACUUCUUACAUUGUUUUUAUUACCUAGUAUUAAUUUAAUUUUGUAUGACUUGUCUCGAUGAGAACCAUCAUCGUCAGCUGCGACCGUUGUUGUCCAAACUCAAAACUGUAUCCACUUUGGUUGAUGCUGAAUGCAGAAACCUGUGCCGACACAUGUACUCGUUCGUAUGCGGCGCAAGUUAUCAAUUUUGGUCUGCACGUCAAGAUUAUGUUCGCUAAACGUUUUAAGUUCACAUAAGACAUGUCCAAGUCGCCAAUAUUUUGAUCGACGACCACCCCGGCAUAAUAUUGGCCGGACCACUUCGAUGAAUCUAUCGCCACUUGUUUUUGUUUUUUUUUGUAUCGUAUCAAUGGUAAUUAGGGUAAUAUUGAUAAUUUCAGAUAGCGAGAUAAGUGCGAAAGUGUUAUCACAAGCACGUUGCAUGUCGCAGCCUUUGAAUGAAUACAUUUGGUAGCUUGAAACCUUGAUAAAACAUUUUAGGUAUAUGGUACAUGGCGCAGCACGCUCGCUCAUGAAUCUUUAUCGUUACGUCGUUUUCGGUUUCUUUCUUCACAUUACGUUGUUUGUGCUGGAUGCUCCUUAUUGCACAUACUGAAGUACGACAUUACAUACAGGUACAUUAAGUUGAGCAUCGUUCGACGUUGAAGUUGACGAGGAGUUCGUGAAAAUUCAUUGUCACAGUGAGGAUGAUGAGAUCCCCGACAAUGUACCCCCCAACUAUGUGUGCAUCUAUCGUUUCAUCCAUCAAAUUGUUACAUAUUGCGUUAAACUCAUUAUGCAAUAGGAACCCUAAUGAUGGCCGCUUUGGUCGACGCGACCGCUGUUGUCCAAACUUAAGUUUCUUACGGGAAGCCAACAUCGUCGUAUAAACAAAAUCUGCGCCGACACACGGGCGCGCCGCAAGUUAGUUUUAUAGAGCUCGCAAACUUAUGAUGAGUAACGUGAUACAUAGAAGCGUUCCGUUCGCAUCUGUCGCGGUUGAUGAGCUGACCGUAAGUGAGCGGCGCGCGUAGCACCGUCUUAUCGCGACCGAUAACCGCGGCCGCGUCUCGACGACGAGGCUCGCACUGUGAUGACUCGUUAAUCAGAAAUGCCUUGGUACGAUGUGUUGUGGACGACGAGUAGAGUGCGCGGCGCGGCACUGCCGCCGCUACCACCGCGCCGCGCGCUGCACCGUUUAUCACGAUCGACACACCGCGUGCGCGGGACGACGAAAUCAUGAAAAUGUUUACAGUUGACUCGAUGGCCGACAUGAUGAUUGGUGUGUAUUGCUGCAAACUGGCGACCAAGUUUAAGUCUACUUGAAGCAGGUUCGAUGUGGUCGCAAAACCAAGCGAUGUCGGUUAUCUUGUUACGUGUUAGUAUAAAAGCUGAUUGCAUCUAUUUCUCUGUUUAGUUAAUUAGAGGUCGUAGAUAAGUUGGUGCAUACUGAGCAAGCAUCUCAAAUCAUGAACGAGGAAGUCUAUUUCGCUGAAGACUACCUGUUGCUUGAUCCAAACUGUGUGAAGCAACACACGCAGCCUUCUCUAAAGACACUGGCGUUAGCGCGGAGAAUGGUCUCGCGCGAGGCGGACACAGCGGUCGACCCGAGCGACUGCCGCGUGGUCCUCAUGCACUGCAACGGGUUGUGUGAUCCACACCGCGUUGAUACAUUCACACCUUGGUGACACUCACCGCGCUCGGCUGACGAUCCUGACGACGAGACAACGUGUGUCGAGGCGUUCAUCGAGUACAGCAUCAUGUUCGGCGGCGACGUGGUCGCAUGUUGUACUAAAUAAAUGUUUAUUACAAAUUACAUAAAAAUAUAUUUGCUCUAAGAUUU